AUUGCUAAGGAGAUCCUCAUCCAGCUCGAUUCUAUUAGAGGGCAGCAAUUGCAGACUUCACGCCGGGCCCAACACAGUUUGGGCUCCCACUUUCAACUAUUAAGGAGCUACAAUGUUUGGAUGAGACAUUAAAGAAUCCAGAGGAGAAGAAGAAUUUGACUGUUUUUCCUGGAAUGGUCGGAGGCAUGACUCUUAAAGACACCGUAGGGUGGGUCCUGAAAAGAACAAUGAACUCUUCGCUGGCGAGACUCAUUAAUUGGAGUGGGGCCAACCGAAAGCGUGGUUUUGGAUGCAGGCCGGAAUGCCCAUGCCAAAGAUAACACAGAAAAGGAGAUAGAGCACCUCAUCACCAGGUGGCCAGGGAUGGUGGCCGAAUCCAGAGGGCGAAUAGAUAAACAAUGAAUUAAAAUGUUUUAAAUUUAAAAAUGUUGAUUUUGGAAAAUUCGUAUUUGAACUGAUCGAGUGUGUGUGUA